ACGGUAACAGGGUGCUUGCACCGCUGACGAGUGGCGAACGGGUGAGUAAUGCGUCGGAACGUGCCGAGUAGUGGGGGAUAACGCAGCGAAAGUUGUGCUAAUACCGCAUACGUACUGAGGUAGAAAGUGGGGGACCUUCGGGCCUCACGCUAUUCGAGCGGCCGACGUCUGAUUAGCUAGUAGGUGAGGUAAAGGCUCACCUAGGCGACGAUCAGUAGCGGGUCUGAGAGGAUGAUCCGCCACACUGGGACUGAGACACGGCCCAGACCCCUACGGGAGGCAGCAGUGGGGAAUUUUGGACAAUGGGCGAAAGCCUGAUCCAGCCAUGCCGCGUGUCUGAAGAAGGCCUUCGGGUUGUAAAGGACUUUUGUCAGGGAGGAAAUCCCUAGCGUUAAUACCGCUGGGGGAUGACAGUACUUGAAGAAUAAGCACCGGCUAACUACGUGCCAGCAGCCGCGGUAAUACGUAGGGUGCGAGCGUUAAUCGGAAUUACUGGGCGUAAAGCGUGCGCAGGCGGUUUGAUAAGCCAGAUGUGAAAUCCCCGAGCUCAACUUGGGAACUGCGUUUGGAACUGUCAGACUAGAGUGCGUCAGAGGGGGGUGGAAUUCCGCGUGUAGCAGUGAAAUGCGUAGAGAUGCGGAGGAACACCGAUGGCGAAGCAGCCCCCUGGGAUGACACUGACGCUCAUGCACGAAAGCGUGGGGAGCAAACA
rnacentral:rRNA from 1 species